UGAGUAACACGUGGAUAACCUACCUAUAAGACUGGGAUAACUUCGGGAAACCGGAGCUAAUACCGGAUAAUAUAUUGAACCGCAUGAUUCAAUAGUGAAAGACGGUUUUGCUGUCACUUAUAGAUGGAUCCGCGCCGCAUUAGCUAGUUUGUAAGGUAACGGCUUACCAAGGCAACGAUGCGUAGCCGACCUGAGAGGGUGAUCGGCCACACUGGAACUGAGACACGGUCCAG
rnacentral:rRNA from 1 species